rnacentral:rRNA from 1 species
AUGUCUCAGAAUCCCCCAUGUCAACAACUGAAAAUUGCAGCAUAUAGUGAUUCAUUACUUCUUGAUGGGAAUGACGCUGCUGUUCACCGUUACCUUGAUGGCCCUUUGGCAUCAAAAGUGUCAGACGAUCAGGUUAACCAAGAUGAUGCUUUGGCUAGUCAACAUGGAGCUCAAACAUCGAUGCAUGACCGUAUGAAUGACCUUGUUCCAGAAGGAAAAGAACAUUGCAGGAGUGGCUCCAAUCGUGGAGUACGAGGCAGGGUUGUUCCAAACGGUGUCGACCGAGACCGUGCACUUGCAGACGCGAAUGUCUGGGCCGAGGCUUGGAGACGCCACGAGAAGGCAAGCAAAGUGCGUGUGACCGAUGAAAUCCUCGGAUAG